rnacentral:snRNA from 1 species
GUACUUACCUGAUGGGGGAGAUACCAUGUUCAUGAAGGCGGUUUUCCCAGAGUAAGUUUCAUCCUUUGCUCCAGAUGUGCUAACCCUUGCCAUUUCCUAAAGUUCAAGAAGCUUGACUGCAUAAUUUGUGGUACUGUCAGGCUGUGUUCUCCCUUUUUCCUG